rnacentral:lncRNA from 1 species
GGAAGGGAUAGCCUUCGUUUCCACGAUGACUCUCUGGAUUAGGUUUAAGGGCAGUAUCAGCCUGAAACAAAUAUGCUGGCAUCUUGUCUCGUAGGUGCUUUACUCAAAAAGUAGACAGAUGUCUACUUUUGGAGUAAAGACCUACAUUCAGCUCAAGACCUGAAUGACCUGACUUUUCUUUCAUGCUAGAGAUGAAGUCAGUGGAAGAGGGAAAAAAAAAUAUUGAAAGAGUGCAUUUGACAACGGUGGGAGAGCAGAGAGGAGGGACUUCCAAGACAUCUUUGCCGCUCAGGUGGACUCCAGGUGACUGAGGGUGACGGAACAGGAAAAGCGAAGAAUGGUUGUGCAUCUUUCUUAAAAGCCAUGUGCACCUGUUGGUGAGAUUUUGUUUCUGAUAAUAGCUUCUUUCUGCCCUUCUAGAGAGUUUGUAGUGGCUGAUGUAUGAACAAAGGAGACUGCUACUUUGUACAAAGAAGAUGGCUAAAGAUGAACCUUCUCUAAAGCAGGGAAAAGUGUUACAUAAAACAUAUAUUUUUUUUUCUCAAAUAAGAAACGUUCUUAUAGUUCUAAGCCAUUUCAGGAUACUUUCAAAACUGAGAAAAACAUCUGGUAACUAAAUCCUUUCUUUAAAAAUGCAUUUAUUCUUGUUAAUGUAGGAGUCAAGACCCUUAGCUGUGACAAUAUGGAAAGAAUCAUAAUUAUGUCCAAGAGUGUAGAACUAAAGUAGAUUUUUCAUAAACACUGGGAGUCCAUUUUAAUAUGUAGAUUAUAUGGCAGCAAGGCAAUAAUUUUAAAUUCCACCGCUUCUCCAUAAGUUAUUUCCUGAUAAUUCUGCUUGUAAUCGUUUCACCCCUCCCAAACCUACAUAUGCAGGCAGACUCUUUGUCACAGCUGCUCACUGGACAUCUCCGCAGUGGAUAUUCCAAAGUUUCCUCGAAUCCACAAUGGCACCACGGACGUCAAGUCUGUGGAGAUGCAGCAUGAAGCUCUGCCUGGUGGGUUUCAGCGUGAAGAAUGUGUCUGUGAAGGAUAUUCAUCUUGGCUUUGUGACCAAGAUGACCGGAAGGAGGAUGACCGGAAGGAGGAAGGAAGGAGGCCGGAAGCUUUGUGGCGUCGGUGAUCAUCUUGAAUCACGCGGGACAGAUCCACACCAGCUAUUCCCCAGUGCUGACUGCCACACAUCUCGUGCAAGUUUGCUGAAUUGAGGGAAAAGAUCGACUGGUUCUCUAGCAACAAGCUGGAGGACGACUGAACAAGGCCCUGAAGUCGGGCAGUGCGGCCAUUGUGCAGAUGGUUCCCAGCAAGGCCAUGUGUGUGGAGACCUUCUCUGAAUACCCAGUUCUAGAAGAGCCAGGGACUGAUGAUGGCUGCUGAGCCCUGGGAAGGAAAGGACCUCUGACUGAGGCCAAGGAGUCUUCCCUUCUGUGCCUCAUUCUUCCUUCCUCUUCAGGCCAUUUUGUUGUGCAGGACAUGAGGCAAAUGGCGGCCAUUGGAGUCAUUAAGGCCAUGGAUAAGAAGACAUCCAUUGAGGGCAACGACACCAAGUUAGCAGUGAAGGACAGCAAGAAAUGAAGCAUGUUUUCUUCCUGGCCAUUUCCUUGGCAAUCUCCACUAUAUAAGACACUUUUGUGUAUUUACUGAGUAAAAUUAAUAACAGGGCUUAAACUUGCUAUCUAUCCUGGUUUCUUUCAAUGAGGAAAGCACAAGGUCAGUGAGGAACCUCUGGGUUGAUGAACAACUAAUUCAAGGCCCGUGGGCUUCAAAGUGUUUUACCACCCAGAGGUCUAUACCAUCCUUUUCCUGUUUCCCUCACACUUAAAAGUAUUUUUACAAUGGCAUAAUGCCAAUAGGCUAAUCCAACACUACAAUAUGUCCCUCUCACCCAUCCUCUCUUUAAUAUAUAAUUUUUUUUUUUUUUACUAAAUAUAGUUGAUUUACAAUGUUGUGUUAGUUUCAGGUGUACAGCAAAGUGCUUCAGUUCUUUCUCUAUGUGUCUCUAACUAUAUCUAUAUCUAUACUUUUUCAGAUUAUUUUCCAUUACAGGUUAUUACAAGAUAUUGCCUCUAGUUCCCUGUGCUAUAUAGUAGGCUCUUGUUGUUUAUCUAUUUUAUGUACAGUAGUGUGUAUCUGUUAAUCUCAAACACCUAAAUUAUCCCUCCCUGCCCACCUCUGCUUCCCCCUUUGGUUAACCGUAAGUUUCUUUUC